CGAAAAUGCACCCACACGUUUUAAAAGAGCAUACAAAUACAAUAACAGCUCAAUCGCGUGUGAAAAAACCUGUUCUUGGAGAAGUGACAGUAAUAGAUGUUUUCCUGGUUUUUGCUCAGAUGAAUAUAUGACAAGCUGUAUCUGUGUAGACGGGUUUAAUAGUACAUCUGAACAUUGCAGUCGAAUUACUAAAGAAAUAAACAUCACCGACGCCCAUGUGCGAUUUGUCGAUGCAGAAGAAACAACGGUGACAUCGCCAGAAGAUAUUAAUUCCCCUCGAUCAGUCCCGAAGAAAUGGACAAAUAAUGUACUUCUACAAAAGUUUGAGUUGUCUUUAGGGGCAACAUAUGACGUAUCUGGCGUAAUACCCAAGUUUGGCGAGUAUAACGAUACUAAUGGAAGUCUCUCUCAUUUCGUCAUUGAUUUUGCCUAUGGUAUAAUAGCAGGGAAGAUGAAAGCUAUAUUUG